GUAUUCUGUUUGCUAAUUCAACUGAAAUACACACAAUCCGCCCCCAGUGCUGGGUUCAACAUCUUUUUGCCAAGGCGGUUUUUACAAAUGCUGAUGAACCACUCCAUGUGGCUUCCUAGGCAAGCACAUUCCUCAAGCAUUUUGACACCGGCUAAUGAUUUAAAGUCCCUUUGGCUCCAUAAACAGUGGAGGCCGGCCCAAAGUGUUGGCUGAUUAGAAACCCACUGGGCAGGCUCGCCCAAAAGGGCCUGGGGCUGGGUGAGCGCUCUACCUGGCUUCCCUCCUUGGGUGAGGAGGAGUGGGGUGGAAGGAAGAGCAAUUCUGCAAGAGAGCUUCAGCAAAAUUCCAAAACAAUCGCAUCGAGAGUCGGCACAACGCAGGUCUCCCGACUUUGACUGGUUCCAGACGAAGUUUCUUUUGUCGUUUGCUAGCCUCCAGGGAUGCAAUCUCUACACUCUCUGUGGGAUGGAGGGGGAAGGCCGUGCCAUCCCCGGGGAGGACAAGAAAAAAGUAACAAAAAUAAUUUUUGGCUUCAAGCACCCAACAAUGGAAAUGCUGAAACCCAUGUCCUUUAAGUCCUUUUCUUCUCCUAGCAGAGGGCCCUCUGCCUACAUGGGGCACCGUGGUGGCCAUUUAAUGUACUCCUGCUUGGUACCCACCUCUGCUCUGCCCCCUGGUGGCCACAGACACCAUUGCUGCUGCCUCAGCACAGUUUGACCUUGUUGCUGCCAAGAGCCACCUCUCCUCUCAUCACUGUCCCCACUCUCCUGCCAUGCCUCAGGUGGCUGCUGGCAGAAGAGCAGUGGGCUUUGUUUCUUCAGAACAUCACAGCAACCACUGUCUUAUCAGCUCACACCCUCAGGAUCUUACUGCCCCUUUUCCCAAAAAUCUCCACUCCGGCAACCCUGGCCCUGCAUCAUUGAAGGACAUUUAAGUGAUAUAACAUAUUGUUGCCUCAAAAAAGUUUUUUCCCUCUUCAACAGCUGGGACAACUGGAUAACCACAUGCAAGAGAAUGAUGUUUGGCCACUAACCACACCAUACAUACAAAUUAACUCAAAAUGAAUCAAAGACUUAAAUGUAAGAGCUAAAACUUAGAACAAACAGGAGAAAAUCUUCACAACCAUGGAUUUGGCAAUGGAUUCUUAGAUAAGAUGCCAAAAGCACAAGCAACACAUGGAAAAAAAGAGAUACAUUAGACUUCAUCAAAAUUAAAAACUCUUUUGUGCAUCUAAGGACACUAUCAAGAAAAUAAAAAGAAAAACUACAGAAUGGGAGAAAACAUUUACAAACCAUAUACGAAAGGAUCUAAUAUCCAGAAUAUUUAAGAAGUCUAUGACUCCCCAACAAAAAGACAACCCAAUUUAAAAAUGGCCAAAGGACUCGAAUUGAUAUUUUUCCAAGAAGAUACGCAAAUGACCAACACACACUUGAAAAGAUGCCCAGAGCUGGACAUGGUGGUAUGUUCCUGUGGUCCCAGUUACUCAGGAGCUGAGGCAGGAGGAUCACUUGAGCCUAGGAGUUCAAGCCUGGAGUAAACUAUGAUCUCACCACUACAUUCCAGCCUGAGCAACACACGGAGACCUGGUCUCAAAAAAAAAAAAAAAAAAAAAAAGAUACUCAAUAUUAAUAGUCACUAGUGAAAUGCAAACUGAAACCACCUUGAAAUACUUAACACUCACUAGAAGGACUAGGACUAUAAUUAAAAACACAGACAAUAGCAAGUAUUAGCUAGAAUGGGUAGAAAUUGGAAUCUUCAUACACUGCUGAUGGGAAUGUAAAAUGGUGCAGCAACUGUGGAAGACAGUUUGAUGGUUCCUCAGAAUUUUAAACAGAAUUACUAUAUGACCCAGUAACUCUUGGAUGGAAUAAAAACUUUGUCUACACAAAAACCUGUACACAAAUAGCAGCACUAUUCAUAAUAGCUAAAAGGUGAAACAAUCUGAAUGCUCCAUCAGCUGAUGAAUGGAUAAACAAAAUGUGGUAUAUCUGUGGAAAAGAGCAUUACUCAGCCCUAAAAAGACAAAGGGAGUACUGAUACAUGCUGUAACAUGGAUAAGCCUUGAAAACAUUAUACCUAAUAAAAGAAGCCAGACCCGAAAGGCCAUGUAUUAUAUGAUUCCAUUUAUACAGAAUGUUCAGAAUAGGUAAAUCCAGGCAGACAGAAAGCAGGUUAAUGCUUGCCAGGGGCUGAGGGGAAGGAGAAAUUGGAAAUGGCUGCUUAAUGAGUCCUUUAGGGGUGAUGAAAGUGUUUCGGAACUAAAUAGGGAUAGUGGUUUUACAGCAUUGUGAAUGUACAAAAUGCCACAGAACUGUGUACUUUAAAAUGGUUAAUUUUAUGUUAUGUUAAUUCCAUCUUAAUAAAGAGAUGAAAAGUUUACAAUUUGUUAAAAGGUCUCCUCCAACACUGAUGCGUAUUCCCCAGAACAGAAACCUUCUGUGUCAGGUCUCCCGAGGCCGGAACAUCAGUCCUG
rnacentral:lncRNA from 10 species